GGCCUCUGAAGCCAGCCUGCCUGGGGCAAUUGGGCUGCACCACCUGCCAGCUGUACAACCCUGGAAAGGUCCAUUCCAUACUCUCUCGGAGAUGACCAUGUCUUCGCAGGCAGCAGGCUCACAUACUCCCACCGCUACGGAGACUCCUACAACCUCACCACAAUCUUUUGUAUAGGAACUCACCUGCUUCUGAAUCAUUGAAGGAGUUACAUUAUUCUCAUUUCAUUAAAGAAUAGGUUACUAAAGAC
rnacentral:lncRNA from 1 species